rnacentral:rRNA from 1 species
GACGAACGCUGGCGGCGUGCUUAACACAUGCAAGUCGAACGGAAAGGCCCUGCUUUUGCGGGUUUCUCGAUAGCGGAGGGGGGGUGAAUAACGCGUGGAUCACCCCCCUAUAUUUGGGGGAUCUCCACGAAACGGGGGAGAUAACAGCAGAGAAUAUCUUGAUCCGCGUGGGGGGUUGGAAAUUUACGGCGGUGGGGGAUGGUAUGGCGGCUUACCAGCUGGUUGGGGGGGUAGGGGAUGACAAAGCUUUCGACGGGUAGCCGGCCUAGGAGGGUGACCGGCCACAAUGGGACUGCGAUACGGACCAGACUCGUACGGGAGGCAGCAGUGGGGAAUAUUGCGGAGUGGGCGGAAGCCUGAUGCAGCAGCGCCGCGUGCGGGAUGACGGGCUUCGGGUUGUAAACCGCUUUCGCCUGUGACGAAGCGUGAGUGACGGUAAUGGGUAAGGAAGCACCGGCUAACUACGUG